rnacentral:rRNA from 2 species
AGGGAAACCGAGUCUUAACUGGGCGUUAAGUUGCAGGGUAUAGACCCGAAACCCGGUGAUCUAGCCAUGGGCAGGUUGAAGGUUGGGUAACACUAACUGGAGGACCGAACCGACUAAUGUUGAAAAAUUAGCGGAUGACUUGUGGCUGGGGGUGAAAGGCCAAUCAAACCGGGAGAUAGCUGGUUCUCCCCGAAAGCUAUUUAGGUAGCGCCUCGUGAACUCAUCUUCGGGGGUAGAGCACUGUUUCGGCUAGGGGGUCAUCCCGACUUACCAACCCGAUGCAAACUGCGAAUACCGAAGAAUGUUAUCACGGGAGACACACGGCGGGUGCUAACGUCCGUCGUGAAGAGGGAAACAACCCAGACCGCCAGCUAAGGUCCCAAAGUCACAGUUAAGUGGGAAACGAUGUGGGAAGGCCCAGACAGCCAGGAUGUUGGCUUAGAAGCAGCCAUCAUUUAAAGAAAGCGUAAUAGCUCACUGGUCGAGUCGGCCUGCGCGGAAGAUGUAACGGGGCUAAACUGUGCACCGAAGCUGCGGCAGCGACGCUUAUGCGUUGUUGGGUAGGGGAGCGUUCUGUAAGCCUGCGAAGGUGUCCUGUGAGGGAUGCUGGAGGUAUCAGAAGUGCGAAUGCUGACAUAAGUAACGAUAAUGCGGGUGAAAAGCCCGCUCGCCGGAAGACCAAGGGUUCCUGUCCAACGUUAAUCGGGGCAGGGUGAGUCGACCCCUAAGGCGAGGCCGAAAGGCGUAGUCGAUGGGAAACGGGUUAAUAUUCCCGUACUUGGUGUUACUGCGAAGGGGGGACGGAGAAGGCUAUGUUGGCCGGGCGACGGUUGUCCCGGUUUAAGCGUGUAGGCUGGUUUUCCAGGCAAAUCCGGAAAAUCAAG